UGCCUGUCAGUGUGGUCGUGCCUGUGGCAAACAGGUAAGAACCAUCACGUGAGCAGUUAACACACAGCAGCGGAUGUUUGGUUAUGUCCUGGCUUGCUUUGUGGUAGAUCAUUCCUCUUCCUUACUUUAAAGAUUAGUCAUUACGCUUGAGUAAAUGGUAACCAAAUCCUUACAUUCUCUGUGAUUUCUGUCACGUAAGUCUCCUGUAAGACUCUCUGACUUCAAAUGCAACAGAUGCUUUGAUGGUUCUUGUGGAAAGCUGAAUUUCUGGCAAUUGUUACAGGGGUUGUAGCUGCUGUGGCAUUCUAAGGAAAACAGGGCUGCAGUAACUCCCACUCUCCCACUAGUUUACGAUGGCUGGAGAAUGCUUGAUGUUUGCUUACUUGUUUUCCUGUCAAGUGUCAUUAUGCCUAGUAAGAACUUAUUCUUAUUUCUUCACAGAAUCAUUUAAAAAAAGACUACAGAGCAAGAUUCUGCCAUGGAGGAGGAAGUAAGAUUGAUGUACAGCCAGGUCAAAACGUACUGAAACUCAUACAGGAUUGUUUUGAAAGUUGCAGCAGUGAUCUUACAAUAAACUCUCCAAAUGCAACCCUUUGCUCAGCUCCUGUUGUCAAAAAUAGGAAGAGGACUUCAAUGCAGAGCCAAAGCGUAAGUUAGUUAUGGCAAUGUCACAGUAUAGCUUUGGGUACAGUUUCACUGGGGUACAAAUUUAGUUCUGUAGGAUUUAGUUCUGUAUGAGCAUUGAAGAAGCUCCAUAUGCCACUUGUAACAGUAUAUAGGCUACAAUUUAACCAUCUGUAAUAGUUGUUGAUAAUGGGUUUUUUUCUUAGUUUGUUGUGCUCUAACAGUAAAUAUUCUGUAAUUAGAUUUGUUUAAUAGUUUAUUUUCCAGGUUUUUUUUCUAGUGAAAGCUUUUUCACUAGAAAAAGCUUUUUGUCCAGGACACUUAAAUUUUUUAUGGUCUCAGGUUGGAGCACGCUGCCUUGUUACUGCUGGUGGGUAUGGCUGUCUUGGACUCCAUUGGAGUUGGUUUUGGCCACUUUGCUAGAUAUAUGGACACAGUUCUUAGCUAAAUGGUGAACAGUAGAGUUGAAAGGUGAUGCUUGUACAAAAGCUGGUUAACUCCUGAUAGUUAUCUGUACAAUAACUUUAUAUAUAUGUAUCUUUCUUGAAGGGUGGAAACAAGUUGAAGGCCUUGUUAGUGUGCUGGGAAAAUGAUGCCAAUAAUCUAGUUUGUAUAUUUAAUUUUAUUGUUUUGAUUCUAUUUUUUUUAAAUAGGAUAUUCCGUUAAUGGCAGGGUUGAGAACAGGCAUCCUUUAUAGUGGUGUUUGUUUACUUUAUUUUGAUGUUAGAAUACCAUAUAAUGUCAAAUAAUUUCUUGCAAAACCUCAGCCUGUCUUAAGAAAGGUGAAUUAAAUUGUUUAAAAUAAUUCAUUCUAAUGAAAAGAAUAGCUUGCCUGGAGACUAGCAGGAUGCCUGUUUAAAGCUGCAUAUAGAUUUUUGCUGUACACACUGUUUUUCCUGUUAUUUGAAAUUUAUAGUUACUUCUAGAAAGUCUUACUUGAUAGAAAGUUGAAGUGUUUAGUUAAAAUAGAACUGUGAUUCACAUGAGUGUGAUUUAAGGGAAGGAAAGUAUAUCAUGUUCUGUAGAAAUUUGUAUUCCUAUCAAAAUACAGUUGCUUUAUCAACUA